rnacentral:rRNA from 1 species
UACGUAGGGUGCAAGCGUUAAUCGGAAUUACUGGGCGUAAAGCGUGCGCAGGCGGUUAUGUAAGACAGGUGUGAAAUCCCAGGGCUUAACCUUGGAACUGCAUUUGUGACUGCAUAGCUAGAGUACGGUAGAGGGGGAUGGAAUUCCGCGUGUAGCAGUGAAAUGCGUAGAUAUGCGGAGGAACACCGAUGGCGAAGGCAGGUCUCUGGGCUGACACUGACGCUCAUGCACGAAAGCGUGGGGAGCAAACAGG